GUCUAAGGCCAUUUCACCCUGAACACACUCAAUCUCAUCUGGUCUCAAAAGCCAAGCAGGGUCUGGUUUGGUUAGUACCUGUACAGGAAAAAUAUCUUCAGAAGAGACUGUUUAGAGUACAAGCAAUGUUGAGACA
rnacentral:rRNA from 1 species